GACGAGGUGGCCGAGUGGUUAAGGCGAUGGACUGCUAAUCCAUUGUGCUCUGCCCCGCGUGGGUUCCAAUCCCAUCCUCGUCG
rnacentral:tRNA from 1 species